GACGAACGCUGGCGGCGUGCUUAACACAUGCAAGUCGAGCGGAAAGGCCUCCUUCGGGGGGUACUCGAGCGGCGAACGGGUGAGUAACACGUGAGUAAUCUGCCCCUCACUCUGGGAUAACUGCCUGAAAGGGUGGCUAAUACCGGAUGCGACCGUCCCCUGCAUGGGGUGGUGGUGGAAAGGGUUUCUGGUGGGGGAUGUGCUCGCGGCCUAUCAGCUUGUUGGUGGGGUAAUGGCCUACCAAGGCUUUGACGGGUAGCCGGCCUGAGAGGGUGACCGGCCACACUGGGACUGAGACACGGCCCAGACUCCUACGGGAGGCAGCAGUGGGGAAUAUUGGACAAUGGGCGGAAGCCUGAUCCAGCAACGCCGCGUGAGGGAUGACGGCCUUCGGGUUGUAAACCUCUUUCAGCACAGACGAAGCGCCCGUUGUGGGUGGU
rnacentral:rRNA from 1 species